AAAGCUAUGAUAAGAAAAGUUUGUACUGAAAUCUAUAAAGUGUUAAACCUAAAAUAAAACAAUUUAGUUGGGCUCUUUUGCGUGUCUAGUAAGGUGUACUGAAAAGCUAUGUUAUUUUCUUAUAUAAGAUUUACCGCGAGGGAAGAUUGAAAUAAAAGUUAAAGAUUAUUUAUGUCAAAGAAGCCGAGAGAGGUUUACCUUUUGUAUUAUGGUUAACUUAAUAAAAAAAGCAUUUUGAUUUAUUAACGAAACUUAGUGGGCAACUGUUUUCCUUAGUUUGGCUAAUAUUCCUAGUUGUAGAAAAAACACGGAAAGAGGGGGCAGUAGAGGUGAAACACCAAUCGCACUUAGUGUUAGCUUUUUUUUAGAUAACUAAAUCUAAGUUUAGUCUGCUUUUGCAAGAUUAUAUAUAGUCGGCCUAUCGGCUAUUUAUAGGGGGAAACAGCCCUCGUAUUGAAGAAAGAACAAUAAAAAUCAUAAAUAAAAUUUUCUAAAGUAGGUUACUAGCAACUUUCUUACAGAGUGCGUUUAAGCAAAGGAAAUUAAAAGAUAAUAAAUUAUUGUAGACUUUAGGUAGUUCGCUCUUAUCAGUUGUAUCUAGAUAAUCCUGUGUUGGGUGUAAUAAUGGUUAAAUUAGUAAGAUAAGUCUCUAUAAUAAAAUGAAAGCUUUUGUAGUCUAUAAAUCAAGAAAGCUACGUUUCUAGUGUUUUCUUAUUUUAGUGGACUAAAAAGUAGAAUAUACAAUAAGAAAAGGAACUCGGCAAACAUUUCUUGCGCCUGUUUACCUAAAACAUUGCUUCUGGAAUAUGAUCAAGAGGUAUGACCUGCCCGGUGACCCUAAGGGUUAAACGGCUGCAGUACUCUGACUGUGCAAAGGUAGCAUAAUCAUUUGCCUAGUAAUUCUAGGCUGGCAUCAACGGUUGGACGAUGAGAAAACUGUCUCUUUUUAUUAUUUUCUGAACUUAAGUUCAAGGUGAAGAAGCCUUUAUACUGUAGUGGGACGAGAAGACCCUAUUGAGCUUUAGCUUUUCGCUACAUGCAGACAUUGUAUUUUGUAAAAGAGCUUGAGUUGGGGCAACUCUUCUUCUAAUAAAACAAGAGUAAAAAAGAUUAAGUAAAUAUAUUAAAGACCCAAAAUAAUUUUGGUAAUAAGAAAAAGUUACCUUAGGGAUAACAGCGUAAUUUUCUUUGAGAGUACACAUUGACAAGAAAGUUUGCGACCUCGAUGUUGGAUCAAGUUUUCCUGGGGGUGCAGCAGCUUCCAAGGGUUGGUUUGUUCAACCAUAAAAAUCUUACGCGAUCUGAGUUCAGUCCGUCGUGAGACAGGACAGCUUCUAUCUACUUUAAAAAUCUCUUCUUGUACGAAAGGAAUUCAGAGACAAAGAUAAUUUUUGUAAAAACUCUUUAGAAAAGAACUUGACAAACAUAAAAAAGU
rnacentral:rRNA from 1 species